UACGUAGGGUGCAAGCGUUUAAUCGGAAUUACUGGGCGUAAAGCGUGCGCAGGCGGUUUUGUAAGUCUGUCGUGAAAUCCCCGGGCUCAACCUGGGAAUUGCGAUGGAGACUGCAAGGCUAGAAUCUGGCAGAGGGGGGUAGAAUUCCACGUGUAGCAGUGAAAUGCGUAGAGAUGUGGAGGAACACCGAUGGCGAAGGCAGCCCCCUGGGUCAAGAUUGACGCUCAUGCACGAAAGCGUGGGGAGCAACAGG
rnacentral:rRNA from 1 species